rnacentral:rRNA from 1 species
GAUGAAUGCUGGCGGCGCGCCUAACACAUGCAAGUCGAGCGGAAAGGCCCUUCGGGGUACUCGAGCGGCGGACGGCUGAGUAACGCGUGGGAACAUGCCCCAAAGUGAGGAAUAACUGCCCGAAAGGGUAGCUAAUACCGCAUAUGAUCUUCGGAUUAAAGGAUUUAUCCACUUUGGGAGUGGCCCGCGUACGAUUAGGUAGUUGGUGAGGUAAAGGCUCACCAAGCCUACGAUCGUUAACUGGUCUGAGAGGAUGAUCAGUCAGACUGGAACUGAGACACGGUCCAGACUCCUACGGGAGGCAGCAGUGAGGAAUCUUCCACAACGGGCGAAAGCCUGAUGGAGCGACGCCGCGUGCAGGAUGAAGGCCUUCGGGUUGUAAACUGCUUUUAUAAGUGAAGAAUAUGACGGUAACUUAUGAAUAAGCACCGGCUAACUACGUGCCAGCCGCCGCCGUAAGA